GACGUAGGGCGCGAGCGUUGUCCGGGUUUAUUGGGCGUAAAGAGCUCGUAGGCGGCUUGUCGCGUCGUCCGUGAAAACCUGCAGCUCAACUGCAGGCUUGCGGUCGAUACGGGCAGGCUCGAGUUCGGUAGGGGAGACUGGAAUUCCUGGUGUAGCGGUGAAAUGCGCAGAUAUCAGGAGGAACACCGGUGGCGAAGGCGGCUCACUGGUCCAUUACUGACGCUGAGGUGCGAAAGCGUGGGGAGCAAACAGG
rnacentral:rRNA from 1 species